rnacentral:lncRNA from 1 species
GGCGAUCCGGGGUCUGGGCGCGGCGAGGUCUGGUGUGGCAGAUGUGGAUAGCUGGACCCUCCUGGGUGCCUCUGCGUUAUGUCGUUUGGUUGAUGCAUUUGGAGAGAAUCUGUGCUCUCCACAACUGCAGGGGCAACAUGCUUUCCUGGCCUCUUCAGAUCAGGGUGGCUGUUCUUGGGUGCUGCACCAAAACUCCAGCAGUGGGCUUUCUUCAAGUGCUGCCAUCUUUCCUCCGUGUGAGCGUGGGCUGUGCGGAGAGUGGACCUCGGUGUGUGCGGGGCUGCGUGCACUGCCAUCGCUCCCUCUACACGAGCCGGCGUGGACCCAGGGCUGAGCUGUGACCACGAGGGCCAUCCCGACGAGCCGCCAUGGACCCAGGGCUGAGCUGUGACCAUGAGGGCUAUCCCGACGAGCUGCCGUGGACCCAGGGCUGAGCCGUGACCAUGAGGGCCAUCCCGAAACUGUGAUUGUUUUCUGAAUGUGGAAGCGUCGGCCGAGCGCGGUCCUUGGAGAACCCUUGCUGCGGAGAAUGACGCUCACUCUGCGGCCUGGCCUCGCCUCCCCAUCCCUUCUGCAAACUCACAGGACAGGAUUGAUGGGGAGAGCCCAGGCGAAACGAAGCUGACCCUAGUGACCAGCCCUACUGGCGGCUCUGGAACAGGCCCGGGACCGGUGGCCUGGAGACAGUGGUCCUUUCUGGAUGGGCUGCAGUCUCCGAAGGCUUCCCCCACUGGAGUCAGCCCUUUAGGAGUUUGUCCAGUGCCUCCAGAAAGCUGUUUUUUGGGGGACGGAGGACUUGGCCUGGAAUUCUGGAAUUCCCAGGGGGUCAGACAUGGUUAUGGGAAGUUUAAUAAAACCGGUGAAUCACGU